rnacentral:rRNA from 1 species
AGAUGUAGCAAUACAUCUAGCGGCGGACGGGUGAGUAACACGUGGGCAACCUGCCUCAGAGAUAGGGAUAACACUCCGAAAGGAGUGCUAAUACCUGGUAAGCUCCCGGCACCACAUGGUGCAGGGAGAAAAGGAGCAAUCCGCUUUGAGAUGGGCCCGCGUCCCAUUAGCUAGUUGGUAGGGUAACGGCCUACCAAGGCGACGAUGGGUAGCCGACCUGAGAGGGUGAUCGGCCACACUGGAACUGAGAAACGGUCCAGACUCCUACGGGAGGCAGCAGUAGGGAAUCUUCCGCAAUGGGCGAAAGCCUGACGGAGCAACGCCGCGUGAGUGAUGAAGGUCUUCGGAUCGUAAAGCUCUGUCUUCGGUGACGAAAAUGACGGUAGCCGAGGAGGAAGCCACGGCAAACUACGUGCCAGCAGCCGCGGUAAUACGUAGGUGGCAAGCGUUGUCCGGAAUUACUGGGCGUAAAGCGCGCGUAGGCGGCUUAAUAAGUCAGAUGUGAAAGACCCGGGCUCAACUCGGGGGUUGCAUCUGAGACUGUUGAGCUUGAGUGCAGGAGAGGCAAGUGGAAUUCCCAGUGUAGCAGUGAAAUGCGUAGAGAUUGGGAGGAACACCAGUGGCGAAGGCGACUUGCUGGACUGUAACUGACGUUGAGGUGCGAAAGCUAGGGGAGCAAACGGGAUUAGAUACCCCGGUAGUCCUAGCCGUAAACGAUGGGUACUAGGUGUGGGAGGUAUCGACCCCUUCCGUGCCGGAGUGAACGCAAUAAGUACCCCGCCUGGGGAGUACGGCCGCAAGGUUGAAACUCAAAGGAAUUGACGGGGGCCCGCACAAGCAGUGGAGCAUGUGGUUUAAUUCGACGCAACCCGAAGAACCUUACCAGGGCUUGACAUCUACCUAAUCCUCUAGAGAUAGAGGAGUGCUCUUUCGGGAGAAAGGUAAGACAGGUGGUGCAUGGUUGUCGUCAGCUCGUGUCGUGAGAUGUUGGGUUAAGUCCCGCAACGAGCGCAACCCUUGUGAUUAGUUGCCAGCAAGUGAAGUUGGGCACUCUAAUCAGACUGCCGGUGAUAAACCGGAGGAAGGUGGGGAUGACGUCAAAUCAUCAUGCCCUUUAUGUCCUGGGCUACACACGUGCUACAAUGGCCUGAACAACGGGAAGCGAAGCAGCGAUGCUAAGCGGAACCCUAAAAACAGGCCUCAGUUCGGAUUGCAGGCUGCAACUCGCCUGCAUGAAGCCGGAAUUGCUAGUAAUCGCGGAUCAGCAAGCCGCGGUGAAUACGUUCCCGGGCCUUGUACACACCGCCCGUCACACCACGAAAGUUGGCAACACCCGAAGUCGGUGAGGUAACCUGAAA